AUUUUCAAAAGAUGUAAAUGGAAUAUUUUGAACAAGGUACAUACUUUUGCAGACCUUUUUCAAUAUCACACUACAACUCACAUUUUAAUCAAACUCCCAAUUGAUUCAAACAACAUCAUUGUUCACAGACAACACAACCAGCAACCGAUCUACAACAAUGAAUCCUACAGAAACCUAGCAAACAAAGGCAAUGGAGACGCUGACUCUAUCAAUCUGGGGAGGUUGAAGGUGGAUCUCAAACGUAAGGAAUUUAGGUUAUAUUUAAAACCUGUGCUCAAACAACUGAAGACGACGAAACCUACAUAA